UACAGAGGGUGCGAGCGUUAAUCGGAAUUACUGGGCGUAAAGCGCACGUAGGUGGUUAAUUAAGUCGAUUGUGAAAUCCCUGGGCUUAACCUGGGAACUGCAGUCGAUACUGGUUAGCUAGAGUAUGGUAGAGGAAAGUGGAAUUUCCGGUGUAGCGGUGAAAUGCGUAGAUAUCGGAAGGAACACCAGUGGCGAAGGCGACUUUCUGGACCAAUACUGACACUGAGGUGCGAAAGCGUGGGUAGCGAACAGG
rnacentral:rRNA from 1 species